AUGGCACUGCCCCGGGGUGGGCACCGCUGCAGGUCCCCGCUCGCCAAAACGGCCCCGUCAGCACCAGGUGCUCACGAGAGACCUUUGCCCAGGGAUGCUGCCAGCUGUCAGCGCUGUUUGCCGAUGGCAUUCAGGCUCCCUGCCGGAGCAGGGAUGGCGCUUGUGCUCCCUGUCAUACCACGGGCAUCCAAACCCCCGCCGCCCUUCCCCUGCUGGUUCAUCCCCUGCUCCUGCUGUGCCCCGGUGCUGCCGUCGGGCUCUGUGCCCCAAGGUCGCCGUGCCCAGGAACGGCAUGCCCCCCCACCUGCACCCCAAAGUACGGCUCAGCCCUCGCACGGAACAUUCCGAGCCCAGCACGCCCCGGUCCCUGUCCCAAGCCGUGCCACGAGGACACAGCAAAGGGGUCACCGCGUCCCUCUCAGGGCAGGAACCGAUCCCCCGGCGCUGCGCUGCUCCGGGUAUGAGACCCCCACCCACAGCCCCUCCCUCGCUGCGUCCCCGUUCGUGCCAGCCGCGGCCCCGUGCCCCGCGCUCACCUCCUCGGUGGUGAGCGGCAUGCAGAUGCGGUACUCCUUGACGAGCAUGGUGACACGGGCAGGGUGGCACGGGCACGGCGGCCAGCACGGGGGUCAGGCGGAGGCGUCGGCGCUGGCGGGGACACAGCUCAUGCUGGGGGGCCGCGGGCAGCGGCAGCGGGGGGGACGCGGCGCUGCCUCCCACGCUCCCAUCCCAGCACCCCACGCUCGAAGCAGCCGCCCCGCUCGCGGUGACUUCACGAGCCGUUGCCAUGGCAGUGCCGUGAGGUCACCCGUGCGAGGAGCAGCCUGGGUGUACCCAGCUGGGGACACCCCGGCACCCCAAAACCCUCCCGGCGUUAACCCCUACCCUGCCAGGCGGACGAACACGUCCCUACGCGGCUGUCUUGGAGCACACGUGUCCCCCCAAAAUAGGGUGCCAUCCCUUCGGGGUGCCACAUCCCCACCCAACUGUAGUGGCCAGUGA
rnacentral:lncRNA from 13 species